GAUUUAAAAAAAAAUGCAGGGAUAUCAAAUAAAGAAUAUCUUGAGCUUUUUUCGUCUUCGAUUGUUUUAUGACAAAGAGAAUCUGAGAUACAGUGUAAUCAAAGUAAGUCAUAAUGUGAAAAGUUGACAACGUGACCAAUAAAUCAUCGAAUGCAAAGAGUUUUAAGAGAAAGAAAUGUCAAAUGCUCUUUGGAAAGAAAUCAUAUUUUGACACUGAUGGACAUUUGCGUCUUGUGUAUGGCAUUGCUUCACAUUUUAUUAACACAUUUCAGUAAAAUCACGCAGUAUAAAGCUGGAAAACUUUAUCAAUUAUUCUAAAAUCCUUAUGAUAAUUAUUGGUAUGUAUUUUCUGAAUAUUUUCGUAUAAAGUUUUUAAUGGUUCUUAUCUAAAUCAAUCAUGGCACUCCUAAAAUUUAACUCAGUAUUUACCUUUUCCCUGAUGCUUUUCUUUUUCCUGCAAUGUGGUGAAGGAAGCAAAAUACCCUUACAAAGCCUUGGGGAAGAUACCAAUGAAAGCGACAAUAAUGGAUUGUUUCAUCAGCACAAAAUUGUUACCAGAAGAACAAGGUGCAAUUCAUCAUGUGUUGGAAUACCCCAGACUGAAUACUGCAGAAAUUGUUGGAAGGUUGGAUAAACCAUGAAAUAAUAUACAAAAACCAAUAACAUGAAGAAAAAAAAAUUAAAAACGAUGAAAUAUCUUUGAAGAAAAACAAAUAGGUUUAAAGAUUCACCAAAUUAUAUUGUUUUUUAUAUUGUCAUUCUUUUCUUAUACCAAAUAUAAUUUUAUACAUCGUUAGUCUUUUUAUAUUUAUUGCAAAAUUUUGAAUUAUUUUGUCUGAAAAUACUUAGUAAUAUUGAAGUCUUCUAGGCUUCAAUCAGGCGAAAAUAAUUAACACCAGACAGUUUCAAUGAUUUUUAAACAAAGAAUUCUUUUGUAGCAAGAAUAAAAUUGAUUUUGUCGUGA